UCCCUAAAGUAGAUGGUACAAGACCAUGGU
rnacentral:piRNA from 1 species